UAGUCUGGUGUUCUAGGCGUAUUGGAACCACACCAUCUUUUAAACCAAACUUGGUUGUUAAACUUUACUGCGGUGACAAUACUAUAGGGGAGACUCUAUGGGAAAAUAGCUCAAUGCCA
rnacentral:rRNA from 1 species